rnacentral:rRNA from 1 species
CAGCCGCCACGGGAAUACGUAGGUGGCAAGCGUUGUCCGGAAUUAUUGGGCGUAAAGGGCUCGCAGGCGGUUUCUUAAGUCUGAUGUGAAAGCCCCCGGCUCAACCGGGGAGGGUCAUUGGAAACUGGGAAACUUGAGUGCAGAAGAGGAGAGUGGAAUUCCACGUGUAGCGGUGAAAUGCGUAGAGAUGUGGAGGAACACCAGUGGCGAAGGCGACUCUCCGGUCUGUAACUGACGCUGAGGAGCGAAAGCGUGGGGAGCGAACCGGAUUAGAUACCCCAGUAGUCCCUGUCUCUUAUAA